rnacentral:rRNA from 1 species
UACGUAGGGUCCGAGCGUUUGUCCGGAUUUAUUGGGCGUAAAGAGCUCGUAGGCGGUUCCGUAAGUCAGAUGUGAAAACUCAGGGCUCAACCCGGAGACGCCAUCUGAUACUGCGGUGACUGGAGUCUGGUAGGGGAUCACGGAAUACCUGGUGUAGCGGUGAAAUGCGCAGAUAUCAGGUGGAACACCGAUGGCGAAGGCAGUGAUCUGGGCCAGUACUGACGCUGAGGAGCGAAAGCGUGGGGAGCAAACAGG